rnacentral:lncRNA from 1 species
UAAGAUGCACCUAAUUUGAUACGCAUGUGUUCAAUACUUUGGUGAGGGGAAUUUAAGAAUUAAGUUAGCAUAUUAACGAUAAAGGAAGUGUCUAAAUUUCUUUGAGGAAAUGUCUAGAUAAAUUAUUUUUAGUGUCUGAAAAUAAAUUUUAAAAUAUCAACGCAAUACUUUUCUUUUAAUAUAGAUCCUUAUUGAGCAAAUAAUAUGUGUUGUGUUUUUAAAAUUAUAGGAGAUUC